AACGAACGCUGGCGGCAGGCCUAACACAUGCAAGUCGAACGUGAAGCCACCUUCGGGUGGUGGAAAGUGGCAGACGGGUGAGUAACGCGUGGGAACGUGCCUUUCGGUUCGGAAUAACCCAGGGAAACUUGGGCUAAUACCGGAUACGCCCUACGGGGAAAGAUUCAUUGCCGAAAGAUCGGCCCGCGUCGGAUUAGCUAGUUGGUGGGGUAAUGGCCUACCAAGGCGACGAUCCGUAGCUGGUCUGAGAGGAUGAUCAGCCACACUGGGACUGAGACACGGCCCAGACUCCUGCGGGAGGCAGCAGUGGGGAAUAUUGCACAAUGGGCGAAAGCCUGAUGCAGCCAUGCCGCGUGGGUGAAGAAGGCCCUAGGGUUGUAAACCCCUUUAAGCGGGGAAGAUAAUGACGGUACCCGCAGAAGAAGUCCCGGCUAACUCCGUGCCAGCAGCCGCCGUAAAAC
rnacentral:rRNA from 1 species